GCUGGGCAUGGUGGUGCGCACCUAUAAUUCCAGCUACUGAGGAGGCUGAGGCUGGAGAAUCUCUUGAGUUCAGGACUUCUGACCUGCAGCGGGCUAAGCUGAUCAGGCAUUUGCACUAAAUUCAGCAUUCGUAUGGUGAACCUCCAGAAGUGGAGGGCCAUCGGAUUGUCUAAGCUGGGGCAAACCAGCCCAAGUCAGAAAUGGAACAGAUCAAAACUUCUGUGCUAAUCAGAAUGGGAUCAAGUCCAUGAGUGGCCCCUGCACAUCCAGCUUGGGUGAGAUAGGAAGAUCCAGUCUUUA
ensembl:misc_RNA Metazoa_SRP Metazoan signal recognition particle RNA